rnacentral:lncRNA from 1 species
GGCUUGCAGCACUGUGGUUUUGAGCAGUGCGUUUACCAGAGGAACUGGCAGAAGCUUGUUGCAAGGCGUGCUCAACUGCACACGUAAAAGUCACUGGCAGAACCAGGAGCGGGACUCGAGGCUUUGCUGUCUCGGAAGGAGCCAAGAAAUCUACACCUUGCAAGAUGGGCCAAACAGCAUGACUUCUGUAUUUAAACAACACUUAUGAUUAAGUGUUAUGAAGCAUGAAUUACAGGGUUCAAACUGGGGAACUCUGGGACAAGUUUUUGCUACCUCAGUCACAAGGUAUGUAUAGCAUAAACUGUUCAAAUUAAUUGUAGUUUAUACUCAGUGGCU